rnacentral:lncRNA from 1 species
CCGGGGCUAACUUUUAUAUUUUAAUUAUUAUUUUGGAUAUUUUGGGUAUUUUUAUUAUUUUGCAUAUUAGAGUUUUAUUUCUAUUGUAAAUAGCCUCCCUUGGCUAUUAGGAUUUUAGACUCCUAUUAGGAUUAGGAUUAUUUUGCAUAUUAGAGUUUUAUUUCUAUUUAGCCUCCCUUGGCUAUUAGGAUUUUAGACUCCUAUUAGGAUUAGGAUUAUUUUAUUUCUAUUAUAAAUAGCCUCCCUUGGUUAUUAGAAAGGCACUUUUCACUUUUCAAUCUUUGAGGAAUUUCAAUAAGACUUUUAGUCUUUCAGCUUAUCUUUUCUCCUAUUUCGUCUUAGCCAAACGAUAUUGGUUAAAACUCCUGACGGAGUCUAAAUAGUCCUUCUUUUCUCUUAUUUCGUCUUA